rnacentral:rRNA from 1 species
GAUGAACGCUGGCGGCGUGCCUAAUACAUGCAAGUCGAGCGAACAGAUAAGGAGUUUGCGCCUUUGACGUUAGCGGCGGACGGGUGAGUAACACGUGUGUAACCUAGCUAUAAGACUGGAAGAACUCCGGGAAACCGGGGCUAAGGCCGGAUAACAUAUAGAACCGCAUGGUUCUAAAGUGAAAGAUGGUUGUGCUAUCACUUAUGGAUGGACCCGCGCCGGAUUAGCUAGUUGGUACGGUAACGGCUUACCAAGGCAACGAUAGGUAGCCGACCUGAACGGGUCGUCGGACACCCUGGAACUGAGACACGGCCCACACUCCUGCGGUAGGACACAGUAGGGACUCUUCCGCAAUGGGGCAGUGCCUGACGGUGCAACGCCGCGUGAGUCAUGAAGGUCUUCGGAUCGUAGAACUCUGUUAUUAGGAAAGAUCAAAUGUGUAAUUAGCUGUGCACGUAUUGACGGUACCUACACAAAAAGCCCCGGCUAACUCCGUG